rnacentral:rRNA from 1 species
CCUACGGGCGGCUGCAGUGAGGAAUAUUGGUCAAUGGACGAGAGUCUGAACCAGCCAAGUAGCGUGAAGGAUGAAUGCCCUAUGGGUUUAAAACUCUUUUUAUAUGGGAAUAUAGCAGGGUAUGCAUGCCCACUUGUAUGUACCAUAUUAAUAACGAGCGGCCAACUUCGUGCGAGCAGCAGCGGCAUUACGGAGGAUUCGUGCGUGAUACGGAUUUGUUGGGUUUAAAGGGAGCGGAGGUGGAUUGAUAAGUCAGUAGUGAAAGCUUGCGGCUCAACCGUAUAAUUGCAGUUGAAACUGGCAGUCUUGAGUACAGUAGAGGUGGGUGGAAUUCGUGGUAUAGCGGUGAAAUGCGUAGAUAUUACGAAGAACACCGGUUGCGAAGGCAGGUCACUGGACUGCAACUGACACUGAUGCGCGAAAGCGUGGGUAGCAAACAGGAUUAGAUACCCUUGUAGUC